CUCUGCUUUAAGCUUCUUUACAGUGUUGCCUUGUGGCAUGGAGUUCAAGCAGCAUUGUACAGGGCUAUCAAAGCACAG
rnacentral:pre_miRNA from 14 species